UCUUUGCAAUCUCAAAUUCAAAGAAAAAUAAUACAUUUUAUUGUAAGGGACUAAUUUUCUCUUACAAAAGCCAACACAACGCGUAUACCUUGGCUUGCCACAAAAUUUACAAGAUGUAAGGUGUUCAUCAUCAUCCCCCUAAUACAACAUACAUCCUAAUUCACAACAAUCAAUUUUUUCAACUGGCAAACCCAAGCUACGCAUUAGCUUCUUCGUCUAAUAAUAGUUAUCAAGAACUAUGUUAUCUUCAGGUUCUCGACUGCACUUAGACAUUCCAUCAUAUCAGCAACAAUAAUCAUGGCGAUGCCAAUGAUCUAUCAGACCUAGACUUUGACUUAAUUACCAUUUCAACCAGUGAUGGGGUAGCAAAAUCCUCAAAAUCAUCUGACGGUGAUGAACCAGCUAUUAUCAUUGCUUUAUGAUCAACUUUUUCCUGCUGAUCACUAGAUGUGGACGGUAAAGUUGAAUUGACCGAAUCAUUCAAAUCCAUACCAACAUGAUUUGGCAAUUGAAAACAGUUCAGCUCAUCAAUCUUAGGACAUAGGCUGGUAUACACUUACUAUAAUUAAGGUUAAAAAACAU